UACAGAGGCCUCGAGCGUUAGGCGGAAUCACUGGGCUUAAAGCGUGUGUAGGCGGAUCGUUAAGUGCCUUGUGAAAUCCCACGGCUUAACCGUGGAACUGCUUGGCAUACUGGCGGUCUUGAGCAACCUAGGGGCGAGCGGAACAAAUGGUGGGGCGGUGAAAUGCGUAGAUAUCAUUUGGAACGCCAAUGGUGAAAACAGCUCGCUGGGGGUUUGCUGACGCUGAGACACGAAAGCCAGGGGAGCGAACGGG
rnacentral:rRNA from 1 species